GUUAAUGUAGCUUAGUUAUACCAAAGCAAGGUACUGAAAAUCCUAGACGAGUUAAAUACUCCAUGAACA
rnacentral:tRNA from 1 species